rnacentral:rRNA from 1 species
CUACGGGAGGCUCCAGUGGGGAAUAUUGGACAAUGGGCGCAAGCCUGAUCCAGCCAUGCCGCGUGUGUGAAGAAGGCCUUCGGGUUGUAAAGCACUUUCAGUUGGGAGGAAAGGUUAGUCGCUAAUAUCGGCUAGCUGUGACGUUACCAACAGAAGAAGCACCGGCUAACUCCGUGCCAGCAGCCGCGGUAAUACGGAGGGUGCAAGCGUUAAUCGGAAUUACUGGGCGUAAAGCGUACGCAGGCGGUUGAUUAAGCGAGAUGUGAAAGCCCCGGGCUCAACCUGGGAACUGCAUUUCGAACUGGUCAACUAGAGUGUGAUAGAGGGUGGUAGAAUUUCAGGUGUAGCGGUGAAAUGCGUAGAGAUCUGAAGGAAUACCGAUGGCGAAGGCAGCCACCUGGGUCAACACUGACGCUCAUGUACGAAAGCGUGGGGAGCAAACAGGAUUAGAUACCCGGGUAGUC